rnacentral:rRNA from 1 species
GAUGAACGCUGGCGGCGUGCCUAAUACAUGCAAGUCGAGCGAACAGACGAGGAGCUUGCUCCUCUGACGUUAGCGGCGGACGGGUGAGUAACACGUGGAUAACCUACCUAUAAGACUGGGAUAACUUCGGGAAACCGGAGCUAAUACCGGAUAAUAUAUUGAACCGCAUGGUUCAAUAGUGAAAGACGGUUUUGCUGUCACUUAUAGAUGGAUCCGCGCCGCAUUAGCUAGUUGGUAAGGUAACGGCUUACCAAGGCAACGGUGCGUAGCCGACCUGAGAGGGGGAAGGGCCAAUCUGGAAGUGAGACACGGUCCAGACUCCUAGGGGAGGCAGAAAUAGGGAAUCUUACGAAAAGGGCGAAAGCUUGGGGGAGGAACGGCAGGGGGGUGAAGAAGGGCUUCGGAUGGUAAAACUGUGUUAUGAGGGAAAAACAAAUGUGUAAGUAACGAAGCACGUUUUAAGGGAACAGAUAAAGAAACCCCGGCUAAAUAAGUG